rnacentral:rRNA from 1 species
UGGGGAAUAUUGCACAAUGGGCGCAAGCCUGAUGCAGCCAUGCCGCGUGUAUGAAGAAGGCCUUCGGGUUGUAAAGUACUUUCAGUGGGGAGGAAGGUGGUAAGGUUAAUAACCUUAUCAAUUGACGUUACCGACAGAAGAAGCACCGGCUAACUCCGUGCCAGCAGCCGCGGUAAUACGGAGGGUGCAAGCGUUAAUCGGAAUUACUGGGCGUAAAGCGCACGCAGGCGGUUGAUUGAGUCAGAUGUGAAAUCCCCGGGCUUAACCCGGGAAUUGCAUCUGAUACUGGUCAGCUAGAGUCUUGUAGAGGGGGGUAGAAUUCCAUGUGUAGCGGUGAAAUGCGUAGAGAUGUGGAGGAAUACCGGUGGCGAAGGCGGCCCCCUGGACAAAGACUGACGCUCAGGUGCGAAAGCGUGGGGAGCAAACAGG